UACCCUUGACAUGGUCGGAACCCUGGAGAGAUCCGGGGGUGCUCGAAAGAGAACCGAUACACAGGUGCUGCAUGGCUGUCGUCAGCUCGUGUCGUGAGAUGUUGGGUUAAGUCCCGCAACGAGCGCAACCCUUGUCAUUAGUUGCUACGCAAGAGCACUCUAAUGAGACUGCCGGUGACAAACCGGAGGAAGGUGGGGAUGACGUCAAGUCCUCAUGGCCCUUAUGGGUAGGGCUUCA
rnacentral:rRNA from 1 species